UGUAAGCGUAUACCAAAGUUGUUGCAGUUAAAACGCUCGUAGUCGGAAUUUGGCAGUUCCGGAUGUGUGCACGUCGUGUGCGCACUUCGCGGGGAUUGCUUUUGUGGUCUUGCGUAGGAUGAGGCACUUUUAUUAGUGCACGUCCUCACGCAACCACUUUUUACUGUGAGAAAAUCAGAGUGCUCAAAGCAGGCAUUUGCCGUGAAUGUAUUAGCAUGGAAUAAUAGAAUAGGACUUGGUUCUAUUUUGUUGGUUUGUUGGGACUGAGUAAUGAUUAAGAGGGACAGUUGGGGGCAUUUGUAUUUCGGUGCUAGAGGUGAAAUUCUUAGAUUACCGAAAGACAAACUGCUGCGAAAGCGUCUGCCAAGGAUGUUUUCAUUGA
rnacentral:rRNA from 1 species